rnacentral:rRNA from 1 species
AGUGAACGCUGGCGGUAGGCCUAACACAUGCAAGUCGAACGGCAGCACAGUAAGAGCUUGCUCUUACGGGUGGCGAGUGGCGGACGGGUGAGGAAUACAUCGGAAUCUACUUUUUCGUGGGGGAUAACGUAGGGAAACUUACGCUAAUACCGCAUACGACCUACGGGUGAAAGCAUGGGAUCUUCGGACCUUGCGCGAUUGAAUGAGCCGAUGUCGGAUUAGCUAGUUGGCGGGGUAAAGGCCCACCAAGGCGACGAUCCGUAGCUGGUCUGAGAGGAUGAUCAGCCACACUGGAACUGAGACACGGUCCAGACUCCUACGGGAGGCAGCAGUGGGGAAUAUUGGACAAUGGGCGCAAGCCUGAUCCAGCCAUACCGCGUGGGUGAAGAAGGCCUUCGGGUUGUAAAGCCCUUUUGUUGGGGAAGAAGAGCAGCAGGUUAAUACCCCGCUGUUCUGACGGUACCCAAAGAAUAAGCACCGGCUAACUUCGUG